AUUGAAUGCUGGCGGCAUGCUUUACACAUGCAAGUCGAACGGUAACAGGUUAAGCUGACGAGUGGCGAACGGGUGAGUAAUGCAUCGGAACGUGCCCGGUCGUGGGGGAUAACACUUCGAAAGAAGUGCUAAUACCGCAUACGAUCUGAGGAUGAAAGCGGGGGACCGUAAGGCCUCGCGCGAUCGGAGCGGCCGAUGUCAGAUUAGGUAGUUGGUGGGGUAAAGGCUCACCAAGCCGACGAUCUGUAGCUGGUCUGAGAGGACGACCAGCCACACUGGGACUGGGACACGGCCCAGACUCCUACGGGAGGCAGCAGUGGGGAAUUUUGGACAAUGGGCGCAAGCCUGAUCCAGCAAUGCCGCGUGCAGGAAGAAGGCCUUCGGGUUGUAAACUGCUUUUGUACGGAGCGAAAAGGCUCUCUCUAAUACAGGGGGCUCAUGACGGUACCGUAAGAAUAAGCACCGGCUAACUACGUGCCAGCCGCCGCCGUAA
rnacentral:rRNA from 1 species